rnacentral:rRNA from 1 species
UACGUAGGGGGCGAACGUUGUCCGGAUUUAUUGGGCGUAAAGAGCGUGUAGGCGGCUUGGUAGGUCCGCUGUGAAAACUCGAGGCUCAACCUCGAGAUGUCGGCGGAAACCACUUGGCUAGAGUCCGGAAGAGGAGAGUGGAAUUCCUGGUGUAGCGGUGAAAUGCGCAGAUAUCAGGAAGAACACCUAUGGCGAAGGCAGCUCUCUGGGACGGUACUGACGCUGAGACGCGAAAGCGUGGGGAGCGAACAGG